GUUGCACAAGGAGCCUACUGAUACAAUUGGCAUGUUAAGAUUACAUGUCAUUGAGGUGAGUCCCGAGCAGGAGCCUCCUUUGCUGGAAGAAGAGGAGGAGAAACCUCUUGAGACUGAAGGGAAUAAGGGAGAUGAAACUGUGUCUCAUUCGUCACUUGGUGAAUCUGUGAUGGAAGCAGCUGAUAGUGAAAUUGAUAAGGUAGAGAAAGAAGCUUCAAAAGAGAAAACAAGAGCUUCAGAAGAUCCAGAGAGCAAGGACGCAGAGAUGGAUGAUUGGUUGUUUGAAUUUGCUCAGCUUUUUCGGACCCAUGUUGGUAUUGACCCGGAUGCUCAUAUUGACUUGCAUGAGCUUGGGAUGGAGCUUUGUUCUGAGGCACUUGAGGAGACAGUGACAAGUGAGGAAGCUCAAAACCUCUUUGACAAGGCUGCCUUAAAGUUCCAGGAGGUGGCUGCUCUAGCUUUCUUCAACUGGGGAAACGUUCACAUGUGUGCGGCAAGGAAAAGGAUUCCCUUAGAUGAGUCUGCUGGAAGGGAGGUAGUGUCAGCACAACUUCAAGUGGCUUAUGACUGGGUGAAGGGGAAAUAUUCUUUGGCCAGAGAGAAGUAUGAGGAGGCACUCUUGAUCAAACCUGAUUUCUAUGAGGGGUUGCUAGCACUGGGUCAGCAGCAAUUUGAAAUGGCCAAACUUCAUUGGUCAUUUGCGCUUGCUAAGAAAAUAGAUCUCUCUAGCUGGGACUCUACAGAAACUCUUAAACUUUUUGACAGUGCAGAGGAGAAGAUGAAAGCAGCAACUGAGAUGUGGGAGAAGCUGGAGGAACUGAGAGCAAAUGAGCUAAAAGAUCCAAAUGCAAGCAAGAAGGAAGAAUUGUUGACAAGAAGGAAGAAACAAGGAAGUGUUGAAGGUGAUUCAUCUGGCAGUGGUGUUCAGGGUGAGAUUUCACUGGAAGAAGCAGCUGAACAGGCAGCAGUGAUGCGAUCACAGAUACAUCUCUUCUGGGGUAAUAUGCUUUUCGAGCGAUCCCAAGUUGAAUGCAAGUUGGGGAUGGAUGGUUGGAAGAAAAACCUUGAUACCGCAGUUGAACGAUUUAGGCUUGCUGGAGCAUCUGAGGCUGACAUUUCAAUGGUUUUGAAAAAUCACUGCUCCAAUGGAGGUGCAGUAGAAGGAGAUGAGAAAAAGGAUCAGAAUGCUAAUGCUGAUGCUGGAUCAGAAAAGAGCAAACAGGCUGAUAAAGUACGAGGGAAGUAAUAAGGACUGAUAUUUUUUUGUGUGCAUGGCAGCAAUGAGUUACAUCCUUAUAUUCUUUUAAUAAUGAGUGACAUGGUACAAGGAAGUGCUUUCUUCUCAGCUGAAAGGGUUGAACUGCAAGAAAUUUUCUUUUGGAAUUGAGAAUUUUGGUCGCAACAUUGAACAAUCAACAUUGGUAUAUUUGAGCGAUAUUGCUUUUUAAGGCGUCCGUGUUUGGUUCGAGGUGAUGUUUUUCUUUGGACAUACUAAUGAGUUUCUGAUAAACAGUUUUAUGUCCUUGGGAUUUUU
rnacentral:misc_RNA from 1 species